AACGCAUAUUGCGCCCUCUGGCACUCCGGAGGGCAUGCCUGUUCGAGCGUCAUUACACCCUCAAGCACGGCUUGGUUAUAGACUUGUCCUAUGACGGGUCCGAAAAAUAGCGGCUGUUCGGCGGGACGUCAAGCGAAGUAAGCUUUAAUCACGCUUGCGUAUAUCCUCGCCCGGGCUCGCCCUCUUUAUUAUCUACGAUUGACCUCGGAUCAGGUAGGGUUACCCGCUGAACUUAA
rnacentral:misc_RNA from 1 species